UGCUCUUCUAACUCGCGGCCGACACCGUGGAUUGAUAAAGUUUUUGCAUUAUUUUCGUCGUGGCUAAAGCCAAGAAAGAAAUUCGACACAUCUUAACACUUUUAUAUUAAAAUGACGUACAAACGAUGGAUGGAAGGACAAAGGAUGGGUUUGGAAAAAGAAGGCGAAUCCCAACUCAAGCAAGCUGCCAGCUUUAAAGGCAUGAUGCUAGGGCAGGAUGUAUUCAUUAAUACAGCUAAGUAA